UACAGAGGUCUCGAGCGUUAGGCGGAAUCACUGGGCUUAAAGCGUGUGUAGGUGGAUCGGUAAGUACCUUGUGAAAUCCCACAGCUUAACUGUGGAACUGCUUGGUAUACUGCCAGUCUUGAGCCAGCUAGGGGCUACCGGAACAAAUGGUGGAGCGGUGAAAUGCGUAGAUAUCAUUUGGAACGCCAAUGGUGAAAACAGGUAGCUGGGGCUGUGCUGACACUGAGACACGAAAGCCAGGGGAGCGAACGGG
rnacentral:rRNA from 1 species